rnacentral:lncRNA from 1 species
CUUACUCAUUCUUCAACGAGUCGGUAUUGGAUGAAGCUCCGCCACCUGUGUCCCCGCCGCAGCCAGCCUCACUGCCACCGCCAGCCCCACUGCCACCGCCACCACCAGGUAUUUGAAAUCUUUCUGAAAUUAUCUUAUUAGUCGCUUCAUCUUCGUAUUCAGCUUCAGGGGACUUGUUGUUCAAGUCGAGCCUCUUUUGUUGGGCUCGGCGGUCUCAAUUGCAAAGCUAGAUCCAGAUUAUUGUGUGACUCGAGGGGAUAAAAUUUGUUCCACAGUACUUCCAGUAUAUAGAAGUUCAGAUAUAACGUCCAUAUAUAGAGUAGCUUACACGAGUAACUGAAUUCUGUACUGUAAUAUUAGUUCUAUACCCUGUGGUGCUUGUGAUACUAAUUUGAAUUAUUUCUGUAGGAACGAAUGACAAAACCGCACGAACUGUCAUCAUUAUUGUUGUACCCACUGUCACAGCUGUUAUUCUUAUUGUUUGUAUUGCUAUUAUCUUGAAGAAGAGGCGAAAGAGGAAAUUGGUGAGCAAAAGAGAGAGUAAGUAUGACAUAUUAACCUACAAUAAUUAAGGAAAAUUGAAUUUAAUUACAGACCAUGUUUCACUAAUUUGUUCUGUGCUAUUACUACUACGUGGUGAAGGUAUAUCUGUGGAUGAUACCAGCAUUGCAGAAUCUCUGCAGUAUGAUUUUUCAGCAAUUAGUGCAGCAACAGAUAAUUUCUCAGAUGCUAAUAAGUUGGGACAAGGUGGAUUUGGUCCUGUGUACAAGGUGAUUGAUUAAUCUUUACUUAGGUUGGAACGAUUCUUCAGCGCAUAGAUAAAUGAAGACCGUGUUGCACAACAACCUAGUUGGAGCAUGAUUACUACUCAGUUAUAAUUUCAUUGUUCUAAUUCGUAAUUUUUUAAAUUUGUUCUCAUAUUAUGUUUUAGGGUAAACUUCAAAAUGGACAAGAAGUAGCAGUGAAAGGCAUUGAGGAUCCAAAUUAUUAAAAAAUAAUUAUAAAAUUAUUUAAAAAAAUAAAAAUAAAUACUUAAUUAUAAUAAAGAAAUUACAAAAUUAUUUAAAAAAUAAAAAACUAAUUUUUGAAAAAAAAUUAUAAAAUUUUUAUUAAAUAAAACUCCCCCACCUACCCCCAGCCCCCAAUGUAUUGAUUUAUUAAAAAAAACAAAAGAUUGGGACUCCCUAAUGCUUUUUUGCUUAAUUAUAAAAUUAUUUAAAAAAAUAAAAAACUAAUUAUUAAAAAGAAAUUAUAAAAAAUAUUAAAAAAUAAAACUCCCCUACUUAACCCCAACCCCCCAGCGUAUUGUUUUAUUAAAAAAAAAAAUUGGGACCCUCUAAUGCUUUUUGUUUUAUUAAAAAGGACCUUUAGUGUUUUAAAAAAAAAAUUGUCAUUCAAAAAAUUUUGGGGCUCUCAAUGCCACUUGCCAUCUUUUUAUUUGUAAAUUAUUAAAACAAAUGCUCCUCACGCGCCUCCCACGAUGGCAUUGCACGCGCAGUACCACAAAGGUAAAAAAGGCCUAAUUGGAAUAAAAUUUUGAGGGGGGGAGGGGGUAGGGGCCUGAUAGGAACAGACCUUAGUUUAGGUGUGUAAGUGAAUUUUGGCAACAAGUUUGAGUGUCUAUCGAUUCUUUUGACGAAUUUAAAAAAUAUAUACACAAUUAUACAUAUACACGCACCAUUCAACAAAUAUGUACUAUUUUAAAGUUUAAAUAAAAUAUACUACAAUAUAUAUAUAUAUAUAUNNNNNNNNNNNNNNNNNNNNNNNNNNNNNNNNNNNNNNNNNNNNNNNNNNNNNNNNNNNNNNNNNNNNNNNNNNNNNNNNNNNNNNNNUAUAGAAGAUAUAUAUACACAUAUAUAAAUUAAUAAUACUUGAUAGUAAAUUAAUAAUAUAUUAAAAUUAAGUUAUAAUUAAAUUCAAUUUUUUUUUUUAAAAAAAUAAUCGGGCCGAGCCGGUUAACCGACGGACCCUAAUCGGACUUGAUCCGGAUCGGGUAAAUCGAACCCAACCAAAAAAAUAAAUUGGCCCAAAACCCAAUACUCUACAGCCCCAAGCCGGGUCAAACCGGAUCAGUUUUUGUAAGUGGACCAGGCUGGACUGGGUCAGCCUGGCCCGUUGUACAGGCUUAAUAUUAAGUAACAUUGAAACGUUCGAAGACGAACAAAUAGAGGCCAAAAUCUGCAAUCCUUGUUGGCUUGUUCACAUCCACUCCUGUCAAUAUAAUAUGAGUUGUAAAUUCAAUAAAUUCUAGGUCAAUUUGUCUAUUAAACAAAAAAAUAAUAACCAAAUGACCCCUAAGGAUAAAAUAAAAAUUUAAACACAAAUGAUUUCCUAAUUUCAAUACCUUUUCUCUAGCUCCCUUUGCUCUUUCAAGCUCUUGCAGUUGUAGUAUUUGUUGAACAAAUUACAUAUAAUUCAACAUCCAAUUACCAUCAAAAUUUGCCUAUCGAUCACUUGUAGACAACAAUUCUAUCAAUAUUAUUUCAACCUAAAAAUUAUUUAUGGCUAUUCAAAAGUGGCUACUCUUUGUGUUUUUGCAUGUACAUCUUCACCAUCUCAUCCUAGCGCAGCCGCCUGAUUUAGAAUUCAGUGAAUGUGGUGUCAAUGGUGACUAUACUGAGAAUAGUACCUACAAGAAAAAUCUGAACACACUCCUCACUUCCCUUUCCUCGAAAUUAGAUAGGUACGGUUUCUACAAUGCUUCCAUUGGCCAAAACUCCGACAUAGUCAGUGUUAUUGUGCUAUGCAGAGGAGAUUUGGAAAUGGAAAAGUGUCGCACUUGUGUCAAUAACAUUGCUCAACAGAUUGUAAAGUCAUGUCCAAAACAAAAAGGAGCUCUGGGUGGCUAUACGGAAUGUAUUAUAAAGUACUCGAAUCAGUCCAUUGAAGACACUCAGUCAAUUUUUUCUCCAUAUUUCUAUUCGAGUAUUAAGGAUGCCUCCGGAUCGGAUGAAUUUAACCGCGAGCUGAGAAAGUUAUUGGACAGCUUACGAGUUGUUGCUCCAGAUGAUGAUCGAAAAUAUGCCAGUGGUAAUGCGACAGGUCCAAAUUUUCAGACUAUAUAUGCACUUGUUCAGUGUAAUCCUGAUUUGUCUCCUGAGGAUUGCUUCGAUUGCUUAACUGAGGCUUAUGGAGAUAUGUCUGACUGCCCAUGCAAUGGCAAGAAGGGUGGAAGAAUCUUUACGAAUAGGUGCAAUUUCCGUUUUGAAACUUAUCAUUUCUUCAGAGAGAUGACGUUCAAAGCUCCACCAGCAGGUGAAUUACAUUACUCCAGUGAAUAAAGCAUGUAAUCUCUAACUUUUUCCACCUCCUAUAAGCAACAUAUACCAGGUAACUCUAUCCACCAAGUAGGCUAGAACAGAUGUAAGAAAUCACCUACUGUUUGUCCCUAUUGCCUGUUGGGAAUUAAACCUGAGACUUCAUGGUGCUCAACCCAACUCAUUGAACCACUAGGCCACACCCUUGGGUUGUUGGAGUCCCACAUCGGUGGAUUAAAGGGUCCUUGGUCUCCUUAUAUGAUCUUGGGCAAUCCUCCCCUCACGAGCUAGCUUUUGAAGUUGAGUUAGGCUCAAGCUCCUUUUGAGGGUGCAUCAUGUAAUACCUAACUGCUUAAGCUUUAAUUUAGAGUUUCUGAAAUAAUCUGCUUAAGAUUUAAUUUAGAGUAUCUGAAAAGGAAAGUUGGACAAGUGAAUCGAGAAAGAGAAGAGAAGAGCCAUUAAAUAAUGAUAUUAUACUGAACUACUGACGAUGCAUUUUUGUAGGGAAGGAUAAUAAAACAGCUCGAACGGUCAUCAUUAUUGUUGUGCCAAUAGUUAUAGUUGUUGUUCUUGUUGUUUGUAUUUCUGUCAUCUUGUUGAAGAGGCGAAAGAGGAAUCUGCUGAAUGGAAUUCAGAGUAAGCGUGGUUUAUUAACAGUCCAUGAUUAAAUUGAAUUUUAAGACCAUGAUUCACUAAUUUGUUGUAAGCUAUUACUACACAGGUGAAGGUAUGCGUGUGGAUGAUCUUAGCACCGAAGAAUCCUUGCAAUAUGAUUUUUCUACAAUUAAAGCAGCCACAACUAACUUCUCCAACGAUAAUAAGUUGGGACAAGGCGGAUUUGGCCCUGUAUACAAGGUGAUAAGGAUUACUUAUGUUACAUAAGUUACGUAUGAGUUUAUCUUCUAUAGUGUAUAGAACUAUCAGAGUACAUAAGUUUCAAGUCCUAGUUGCAUAAUAACACUCUUUAAGACAUUGGAGCAAGAAUACUUACGUACUUAGUUAUAAAUUCAUAUAAUUUCAAUUUUCUCUCAUAUGUUUCAGGGUGAGCUUCCAACUGGAACAAAAAUAGCUGUGAAAAGAUUGUCAGCAAAUUCAGAACAAGGUGAUCAGGAAUUCAAAAACGAGAUCAAGUUGGUUGCUAAGCUUCAACAUAGGAAUUUGGUUAGUCUGCUGGGAUUUUGCCUAGAUGGAACUGAGAGAAUUCUUGUCUAUGAAUUUGUUAAAAAUGCAAGCCUUGACCAAUUUUUAUUCGGUAUGUAUUGAUUAAUUUUUUUCGUCGUUUGAUUGUCAUAGUGUAAUUCGUUACAUUAUCAAUGUAUAGUAGUUAGACUAUUUUCUUAAAAAGAAAAACGAAAAAAGAAAAAAGGAAGCUUGAGCAUCUGCAGGAAAUAUUCUUCAUUUGUUUGUCCAAUGGGAAUGCAGAUCCAGUUAAACGUAAACAGUUGGAUUGGGAAAGGCGAACCAAAAUCAUAGGAGGCAUUGCUAAGGGAAUUCUUUAUCUUCAUGAGGAUUCUAUACUUCGGAUCAUUCAUUGUGAUCUCAAAGCUAGCAAUGUUCUACUUGAUGCAGAAAUGAAUCCUAAAAUUGCAGAUUUUGGAAUGGCAAGGCUAUUUGCCUCGGAUGAAACUCACCGCAGGACAUGCAACGUUGCUGGGACUUUGUAAGUUUUACAUCUCUCAUUAGAUAAACCGUUCAUUAUUUAUACCUCUAGUAAGGCAUCUUAAACCAUAUAGCAAGGGUAAAAUCCUCGAGACAAAAAAGAAUCUUUCUUUGAAAUGUUACAAGAAUUUUCAAGAUGAGUUUUGUUACGGUCAUUGAUUCAGGUAUUAUAUUUUGAAUUUGGUUAUCAAAGGUGCAGUCUCUGCAUAUGUAAAUUAAUUAUGAUUUCUGCCAAAAGUGAGUUCAGGGAACGGAUAGGCCAAAUUCGAUUUGUCUAGAACAAUUUCUUUUCUUGUCCUGUUGGGUUCAAAAUCAAAGUGUGAAUGGAAAAUGGAGGGAACCAAGUGGAGGGAAAAAUUGAGAUAACGCCAAAAUGAAAAGUGUACUAAAAAAUGGGAAAGUCUACUAAAUUCUCCCACAUUGGUGGAAGAAUGAAAUUUUCAAGUGUUUAUAUUAUGGAACACUUACUCCACAUGUUAAUUAAGACAUGAACCAAGAGGUGCCUUGUCCUGUUGUCACUUGCUUGGCAUUUGGACCUUCAGGUGGUUGAAGAGGCACAACUUCUAGGAACAAAAUUUAUACUUGAAGUUGUUGUGCCUAAAUACAGUAACAGUUCCUUUGUCAUAUGAAUUCUGAGCUGAGUCUUAGUCAAAAAGGCUAGAUGUGACUCACUAAAGCUUAACUCAUUAAUGAAACUUACUUGUAGUGCCGAAUACUCAAGUAAUUCCUGUUUUGGCAUUGCAGGGGGUAUAUGGCACCAGAGUAUGCAUAUGGCACCAGAGUAUGCAGCGCACGGGCAAUUCUCAGUGAAAUCAGAUGUUUUUAGCUUUGGAGUGCUAGUCCUGGAAAUUUUAAGUGGCCAAAGAAACAUUUGUUUCAGAAAAGGGGAAUAUGUAGGGAACCUUCUGAGCUAUGUAAGUAGUAACCAAGACAAUUAAGCAUCUAUUCUUUUCAAUUCCAAAUGAGUUCAGAAGUUAAAGUCUUGAAUAUUUAUAAAUGUCACAGACUUGGACAAACUGGCGUGAAGGAAGAGCUUUGAAUUUGAUAGAUCCCAUACUGAGGGAAAGCGCUGAACUGGCUGAUGACAUACUGACGAGAUUCAUCCACAUAGCUUUAUUGUGUGUCCAAGAAAAUGGGGCUGAUAGACCAACCAUGGGACAAGUUGCUCUCAUGCUCAGUAGCUGCUCUCUGGAUCUUCCAGUGCCUUCAGCGCCUGCAUACUCUGUUCACAGUGAUGUUAGCUUAGAGAUUUCUCUAAAAGAAUGCAGUAAUGAGGCGUCGAUGACUGAGUCAAAUUCAAGAUAAUAGCCUUAUUAUAUACAAUCGCCUGUCUUAAUGAUGGGAUGGAUGAUACUCGAAGGAAGGUGUCAACUAUGAAUGAGAAACUCUGAAGCCUCAGAGAUCAAAUUCUCUCGCUAUUUGCUCUCUUCCCCCUCUGAGUCUAGUGUUUCUGCCUCUAAUGAAAAUGAGAAAUAACUUGUUUAUUUGAACUUAGUAUGCUCAAGGACCAAGUAAACAUAUUACUAUGAGUAUUGUUUGUAUGCAUAGCUUUUAUUUGAAUCUGUUUCUGUAUGCAUGGUUUCGGGUUAAUUGGUUAUUGGAUUGAUGUGGGAUUGUUUGUUGAUAGGAAGGUUUUGCAUUGCUUUGAUUGAAGUUGGAUGAUGAAUUUGUACAAGACAAUUUGGAAUCAAGAAUACAUACUCUUGACGGUCGCACUACAAUUUUCGAUACAACAUUGUUUGCGCUGCUUGGCAACUUCCUGUGUUAAUUGCUUUGUCAACUCAAUUUUCAUCACGUAAUUAGUUAAGAUGUUUGUGGGAUAUGUAGAAGUCAAAAUAGAGGAAGAAUCUCUAGGGAGUGCAUUUUAAAACAUUAGGAAAAACAAAAUAAGAUACAAAUUAGUUGGAAUUCGUUUUCUGGCAUUAUAUUAACGUAAGGCUGUCAAGUGGACCGGGCGGGCCAACCCGAAAUUGGCCCGCUAAAAUUAUCCGGGUUGGGCGCCGGUCCGGGUUGGGUUUAAGUGGGCUGGGGCGGUAAAAUAUACUACAAUAUACACACACACUAUAUAUAUAGUUAAAUACUAAUUUAUAAAACAUAUACACACGUAUACAUUAAAUAUAUACUACUUUAGAAGAUAUAUACACACAUAUACGUAUCAUUCAAUAUAUCUACUACUUUAAAUAAAAUAUACUAUGAUAUAUAUACACUACAAUAUAUACACACACUAUAUAUAGUUAUGUACUAAUUUAUAAAAUAUAUACACAUGUAUACGUUAAAUAUAUACGUCUACAAAAUAUAUAUACACAUAUAUACGUACCAUUCAAUAUAUAUGAACUACUUUAUAAAAAAUAUACUACUAUAUAUAAUUAUAUAUAUAGCUAUAUAUUAAUUUAUAAAACAUAUACACAUAUAUACGUUAAAUAUAUACGUCUAUAGAAUAUAUAUAUACACAUAUAUAAAUUAAUAAUACUUGAUAGUAAAUUAAUAAUAUAUUAAAAUUAAGUUAUAAUUAAAUUCAAUUUAAAAAAAAAAAUAAUCGGACCGAGCCUGUUAACCGACGGGCCCUAAUCGGACUUGAUCGGGAUCGGGUAAACCGAGCCCAACCAAAAAAAUAAAUUAGCCCAAGACCCAAUACUCUACAGCUCCCGAGCCGGGUCAAACCUGACCAGUUUUUGUAAGUGAACCUGGCUGGACUGAGUCAGCCCGGCCCGUUGUACAGGCUUAAUAUUAAGUAACAUUGAAACGUUCAAAGAUAGAACAAAUAGCGGCCAAAAUCUGCAAUCCUUGUUGGCUUGUUCACAUCCACUCCUGUCAAUAUAAUAUGAGUUGUAAAUUCAAUAAAUUCUAGGUCAAUUUGUCUAUUAAACAAAAAAAAAAAAAAAAAAACAAAGACCAAGACAAAAGUUGAUCUGUCACUGUUUUUACGAGGGAGUUGCUCCUAUACCCUCACUUUAAAUUUUAAGAUUGUGGGUUUGAGUCAUCAAUGAAGUAAAAAAGGUAAAAGGUCCUGGGGAAGGGUAAAAUAAAUAUUUCCUUUUUUUAAAAAAAAGAAGAGGGGCUACUAUUUCAUCUUGAAGUGACACCAAAAGUUUAUUUGGAGUAUUUGAUACAACAAACAAAAAUUGUGUGCUCAUUCUUUAUCCUGGAAUUGUUAUCCUUUGUCCUUUACCAAACAACCCCAUAGAAUUAUAUUUUAUUCAACUGAUUUACACAGACAACUCCUAUUGGCUUGUCAAUUUGAAUGUUCCAAUAAAAAACUCGAAACCGUUAACACAGUGCAAACUGCAAAAUGAAAAAUAUGUUGGGUUCAAAAUCGAAAAAACGUCGUGCGGAAGCUAUUAAUUACAAAUUAUGAGAUAAUAAAUAAGAUGAUAACAAAAAAUAAUACGAAAAAUAUAAUUUUAUUAUAUGAUUUGGCCAAUUGACUUACAUAUAAAACGUAAUAUUAAAAAUAUAAAACUAAUAAGAAAGAAAAUCUCCCCCUAAGCAAAAAUCUUAAAAGACUACAUUGUGGAUGUUAUUUGUGUUAUGAUAUGAGAAGUGAGUCUUCUAUUUAUCCAAAACCUUUCUCCAAAAAAGAGGUUAGCCAAAUAUGAAAAAGAAUUAUAUUUUUCUUUUACGUAAAGUAAAAGUAAUUAUGGUAACUUUUAUUUUUCCUUCUUAAAAAAAGUAAAACUUAAAUAUAGUAAGAAAAUUAGGGUAAAACCUAACAAAUCUCCCUUUUUUGACUUAAUUUUUUUCAAAAUAUUCUUGAUCAUCCUUCUUCUUGUGUAUGAUCUUCGUUCUUUAGAUAUAUUCUUCAUAUAUCAUUGUUACUUACCAUGAUUAAAAAUUAAUAUGGGUUAAAAUUGAAGUCCUAUGCAUUAAAAAUAGAAGCACGGGUUGAUAAGAUUGAAAGUGAACCUUGUGUAUUGAAAGUGAGCACAAGUUAAGAGUGGAGCUCAUGCAUUAAAAAUAAAUGCACGAGUUGAAAGAGCCCAAGCGUUUAAGCAAGUAUGGGUUGAAAAUUGGAGCCCAUAAACAUGGAUUGAAAAUUGAUUUUGGUUUUAAAGAUGAAUAAGCAGCACGAUUGUUGAAAUUUUGUUUGAAAUUUUUUCUUCACGUGGAGUUUGACAAAAAUCUUCAUUAUCAUCUAAAUUGUUGCAGCUUGAUUUUGAAACUGCUUUGAACCUGUUUAAUCUCGUCUCACCACACCAUUGGACCAUUGAAUCGUAAACUCUGAUACCACUUGUUGGGUUCGAAAUCGAGAGGGCGUCAUGCGGAAGCUAUUAGUUGUAAACUAUGAGACGAUAAAUAAGAUGACAAUGAAAAACCAUACUAAAAACAUAAUUUUAUUAUAUGAUUUGGCCAAUUGGUCUACAUAUAAAACCUAAUAUUAAAAAUAUAAAACUAAUAAGAGAGAAAAUCUUUCCUCAACGAAAAUAUUAAAAGACUACAUUGUAGAUGUUAUUUUGUGUUAUGGUAUAAGAAUGGAUCUUCUUCUAUUUAUAGAUGUGCAAAACUUUUCCUUCGAAAAAGAGGUUGUCCAAAACUUUUUCUCCAAGAAAGAGGUUAGCCAAAUAUAAAAAAGAAUUAUAUUUUUCUUUCAAGAAAAGUAAAAGUAAUUAUAAUAACUUUUAUUUUUAUUCUAGGAAAAAAUAAAACUUAAAUAUAGCCUAACAAAAUACAGAUUAAAAGUAAAAGGAAACAUAAUUGGACUUGCCAGAAGAGGGCAUGUUUUCGAAAUAAUGCUGCACGGGGUAGGUUAUGAGGUGGUUAAAACUUUAGCGGGUCUGUUAGUCCUGCCCAUCCCAUGCUGCCUCGCCUCAUUUACAUCCCUAAAGCUCCCAGCUUUUUGGGUGAAACUGAGUUGAAUAAACACCACGAAAACGUGUAUAACUUUCUGAAAGUUUGUAAGCCCAGAAUACACGUUACCCUUAAUUACUCCCAUACUUUUCAAUGCUUUUAAUUUUUGUCUUUCUUAUGUUGAACUUUCAACUUGACUUAAUAGACUGAGUCAGUCUUCCACCAACGAACAGGUUGUCAACACUUCAAAAACUGAAAAAUUGGAGCCAUUUUUAUUUAUAUAGUCUCAAAGACGUUAGUUGAGCUUUGGAUUGGACAGAUAGCUAUGGGUUUCUUCAAAUGUCUGAUCAUUAUAAUAUUUCAAUUUUACUACCUUUUCUACCUCAACAUAGCACAGACUAAUUUUACUUUUCAAUCGCCCUGCGUAGGUAACGAGACAGAGUACUCUCCAAAUGAUGUAUACGACACAAACCUUAAGACGGUUCUCUCCUCUCUUUCGCGUAACUUAGACAGUGACGGGUUCUAUAAUACUACCAUAGGCCAAGGUCCAGACAAGAUUAGCGUCAUAGCGCAAUGUAGAGGAGAUGUCCAGUUACAAACAUGCCGCGGCUGUAUAAAUAAUGCUAGUCGCUUGAUUUUAGAGAAAUGCCCUUACAAGAAAUCAGCCUUUGGCAUUUAUGAUAUGUGUCUGCUACGAUAUUCAAAUGUGUCCUUCAUAGGCACCAUGUCAAUCGACCCACGAUUUACUUACUAUUAUAACAGAAAUUUCUCGGACCCCCAGUUGUUUUAUAACCAAUAUCUGACACCCUUGUUGACCAGGUUACGAACUCGAGCUUCAAGUGGUGGGAAGCGUAAGUUUGCUGGUGAUGUUAUUGAAGCCCCUGAUUUUCAGAAAACACAUGCACUUGUACAGUGCACAGCCGAUUUAUCAGCUCAAGGUUGCUACGAUUGUUUGACCGCUGUCUAUUCAAGUUUGCCUGGCUGUGACUGUUACGCAAAGUGGGGCAACUACCAUUUGUUGCCCAGCUGCGUUGUUCGGUAUGAACCUUACUCAUUCUUCAACGAGUCGGUAUUGGAUGAAGCUCCGCCACCUGUGUCCCCGCCGCAGCCAGCCUCACUGCCACCGCCAGCCCCACUGCCACCGCCACCACCAGGUAUUUGAAAUCUUUCUGAAAUUAUCUUAUUAGUCGCUUCAUCUUCGUAUUCAGCUUCAGGGGACUUGUUGUUCAAGUCGAGCCUCUUUUGUUGGGCUCGGCGGUCUCAAUUGCAAAGCUAGAUCCAGAUUAUUGUGUGACUCGAGGGGAUAAAAUUUGUUCCACAGUACUUCCAGUAUAUAGAAGUUCAGAUAUAACGUCCAUAUAUAGAGUAG